GAGCUGAGCGUGAAGGCCUGGGCGAGCGGAAGGGUGGGAGAGAGGGGCUAGGCCGGGGAGGGAAGCGCUGGGGCCGGGGCCGGCUUUCCAGGAGCCGGCGGGAGCGGGGUGCGUAAGAGGCGGGCGAGGAAGAACCGGCGGGCAACGGGAAGGGCAGAGGUGGAUCUCUCCCUCAGCGACCCCUCUCGCCGAGUGAAGGGUCGAGGGUUUGGGGCACAAAGGGCGCAGAACGUUUUUUCCUGUGAGAGGAACAUUAAGACUCCUGGGAGGGCUGGGGCUAACGCCUCCGAGAGCCCCACCUGGUCAGCCUAGGGUUAGACGUGUAGCCAGGGUGCUGGGAGGGGGCCGCUGCUGGGCCCCAGAUAGAGGGGUAGAGGCCGCUCAAUCACGGAGCCAGGCCCCACCUGCUGUAGAAACCGCCACCGAGAGCCGGCCGGGCUUGCUGCACGCUCUGGAUUCCGCCUGCCUAUAGGCGAGGCACAAGGGACUGCGAGACCAGGCCUGAAGGCAGAGAGGUCAGCAGGCUCGGGGGCCUCUGCUCCAGCGGACAACAAGCGCACCGGGCGGGAACGGCCGCCUCCCCAGGCGCUGCAGCCUAGCUCUCAUGUGACCCACGGAACUUAGCCCCUCUGUUCUGUUUGCAUACCUGCAAAUUGUGGGCAUUCACGCCGGGACUGCCAACUCACCAGGUUAUUUAUAGUGACAAGAGAGUGAGACAGUGGGCUUGAAAGUGUUUUCCAGACCAAGGCUCUGUCCCACAUAUAGGUGGAUUAACUGUCUGGCAAAGGCAGGAAUCCAUUGAAGAGGCCAUCUCCACAUUCAGAACCAAGAAUGUGGCAGAAAGAAUGUUCUAGGACUUCCAAGCCUCGUCAUUAAGCAAAAGCAUUAAGCAAACCCCACAGCUUCUGCUUUGUACUCUGGAAAAUGCCAGCCACCCAUGAGGAGAGACCACCCUGCUAGCCACAGGGAGAGGCUAUGUGAAAAGAAAGAGAUGCCUGGCCAGCUCUAGCUCUUCAGCUCAUCCCAGCUGAGCUACCAGACACAUGAGUGGAAAAGCCCUUAGGAAGUUCCAGCUCCAGCAGACACCAUACUGAACAGAGGAGAGAUAAGCCAUCCCCACGGAGCACUGCCAAAAUGACGGCAUUGUGAACAAAUAAAUGAUCAUUGUUUUAAGGCA
rnacentral:lncRNA from 1 species